AAAAGAAAAAAAAAAUAGAGAGGAGAACAGAAAAAAGACGGGAAGGGCGAUGUAAACAAGAAAGAAAUAAAGGGAAAGUGAUAUAUACGCAUAAGGAUUUUAUUCAUCACAUUCAAGUAAUGCAAAUAAAACAGAGGGGAGAAACUCCUCUCUUAAAGAUCAGAUUACAAACAUAUUACCAUAAUCCAACAAAAUUUGUUUGUUGAUCCUACAUGAAAUUCUGUAUAAAAUAAUUAGAUCCUGAACAAAAUAAAAUAAACACAUUUUCAAAGUGGCUAAACAACUUUUUUGAACUUCCAUAUUUGGUCUCAAAAUCUAAUAACUAGUUGUGAAUGAUAAACAUAAAAGGUAUGAAUCAUAAAUUUCACUUUCACUGAAAGAAAAGGGUUACAUUAUUAGGCUCUAGUAUAAGAAAAAUUAACAUCUACAAAACAAACUUACUUUUGUGCAUUGCAUAUUGAUGCAAUGAAGUUAAACUAACACCAUAUUAGAUGGAGAAGACAUAAAUCGCUAAGGAGAUAGGGAACCUUUAAAUCCAAUAAUAACACGCAAGAAACACGCAAAAAUACUAGAUAUGGAC
rnacentral:misc_RNA from 1 species